CCUACGGGAGGCAGCAGUGAGGAAUAUUGGUCAAUGGGCGUACGCCUGAACCAGCCAAGUCGCGUGAAGGAAGACGGCCCUAUGGGUUGUAAACCUCUUUUGUCAGGGAGCAACACCGGCUACGUGUAGCCGGACUGAGAGUACCUGAAGAAAAAGCAUCGGCUAACUCCGUUCCAGAAGCCGCGGUAAUACGGAGGAUGCGAGUGUUAUCCGGAUUUAUUGGGUUUAAAGGGUGCGGAGGCGGAAUGCCAAGUCAGCGGGAAAAUCGCGGGGCUCAACCUCGCUCCGCAGUUGAAACUGGCGUUCUUGAGUGGGCGAGAAGUAGGCGGAAUGCGUGGUGUAGCGGUGAAAUGCAUAGAUAUCACGAAGAACUCCGAUUGCGAAGGCAGCAUACCGGCGCCCAACUGACGCUGAAGCACGAAAGUGUGGGUAUCGAACAGGAUUAGAUACCCCUGUAGUC
rnacentral:rRNA from 1 species